AUUGAACGCUGGCGGCAGGCCUAACACAUGCAAGUCGAGCGGUAGAGAGGUGCUUGCAUCUCUUGAGAGCGGCGGACGGGUGAGUAAUGCCUAGGAAUCUGCCUAGUGGUGGGGGAUAACGUUCGGAAACGGACGCUAAUACCGCAUACGUCCUACGGGAGAAAGCGGGGGAUCUUCGGACCUCGCGCCAUUAGAUGAGCCUAGGUCGGAUUAGCUAGUUGGUGAGGUAAUGGCUCACCAAGGCGACGAUCCGUAACUGGUCUGAGAGGAUGAUCAGCCACACUGGGACUGAGACACGGCCCAGACUCCUACGGGAGGCAGCAGUGGGGAAUAUUGGACAAUGGGCGAAAGCCUGAUCCAGCCAUGCCGCGUGUGUGAAGAAGGUCUUCGGAUUGUAAACUGCUUUGUACGGACGAAAGGUUUCUAUUAAUACUAGGAGCUCAUGACGGUACCGUAAGAAUAAGCACCGGCUAACUAACGUGCCAGCA
rnacentral:rRNA from 1 species